rnacentral:lncRNA from 1 species
UGAACAAAUCUCAAUUUAAUUUAACUUUCAACUGAAAAUAAAUUGUUUAGCCACUCAUGACCAUAAUAAAAUUAUUAAAAUUUAGUAAAAGAAUAAGAAAAAGAAAAGAAGAUGGAGAACAUAGUGGGGGGCAACAAGAGAGGAAAUGAGAGCGAGAGGUAAAAUGUGAUUCUCCAGGUUAAAUGCUAGAAGCCUUUUUAUAGGCACAAAAAGAUAAAAUUUUAAAAUAAAAACUAUUAUCCCUAUCUUAUCUCUAUCCUCAUCUUAUCUCUAUCUUCAUAUGAUCUUUAUCCUCAUCUGAUUCAAUUUGACUCCACUUGAAACUGAUAUUAUCCUUGUUUAGGUGGCAAAAUCUAUCUUAUCUCCCCGUCGCCUCCCAGUAUAAAAAAUCCUUUAAUUCAGCAUUUUUUUCUUCCUUUUAUCAACUUCUGCUCACAAACCUGCACAAGAUUAAAUUCUAAUUAAAAUUAAAUAUUUACAUAAAAAUUAUAGUAAAAUCAAUGAAUUAAAUGAGGAAAAAAAUUGUGAGUUUUGCAACUCAUCAGAUUCCCCCACACUUGCACCUUUGCUUGUCCUCAAGCACAAAAAUUGAAAUGAAACAAAGGAAUACAACCCUGUCCUCAACCAAUCUGAAAUUUAAUUUAUCCAAAACAAAGAACCAAAUUGUCAUGCACUAGGAUGAUAGCAGAAAUAGCUUAAUUUCACCAAAGUUCACUUCAACAAGUUUCAUAUUUAAAACAUGUUUCUCAAGUCAUAAAGUUGGUCCUCAAUUUAAUUUCAAGCACAUAAAAUAUUAGAAUGCCAUAUAAUAUUAAAUUGCCAUUUUUUAAAGAAUGGAAUCUUAGGAACUCUUAACUAGACCAAUUAAAUUUAAAGAUUUGGGGUUCAUUAUUUAUUAUUUACACUUCCUACUAUAUCUUGCCUGAAACCGAUAAAGUGAACGUGAAACAAAUGGUUACUGAGCCACUUGCCCCAGGUUAUUUAGCUCAGGUGGCUACUAGCUCCACUCAUAAUUACCCAAUAAAAAGGUAUGGGCAAGUUUUUAAACGACCCAAAAAGGGUGAUACUCUCCCAAACACUGAUUUCUCCAUACAGAAUUACCUUAAGAGGUCACCAGGUACCGCACUACUUGGGCCAUCGGGUUGGUAACCAAUUGAUCAAGCAACUAGAGGAAUGGGUCAUAGGAGUGCAUUUAUUUCUGAUUUUUAUUUUUAUUUUUUUCUUUUUUUUUCAUUUUUUUUAAUACUCCUUGAUUUCCACAUAAAUAUAUAGUCUAGAAAAUAUCCUUUAAUUCAUUCUCAAUAAAGGGCAGCAACUCAUUUAAAAGAACAUGCAUUUUUUACCCACUAUUUAAAUAAGGACCAUAUUUCAUGAGAUUUCAAAACAAGGCUUAAAAAUAAAACUAAUAAAAUAAACAAUGAUAAAUUUAUUCUAUUUAAGCUAGCAUAUAAAUGGCAUAAUAACUUGUAUUCUAUGAUAAAGGAUAUAUCAAUUUCUUAUGGCAAGUAAGGAGCUGUAAAAUUUUUAUUUUAUUUUAUUUUUAUUUUAUUUUAUUUUAUUUUAUUUUUUUUACUUUUUUCCUUUUUUAAAAAAAAUGAUGCAAAUACUAGAAAUCAUAAAAAUUAAAUAUGAGAAAUAAUUUAAAGUGCAAGUGCUGAGAAACUGCUGAGAAUCAUAAAAACAGAAGUGUCCCAAAAAUUCCAAAAUUCCAAAAUUCCUCUAACUCAAACACCAAAAACUCAAAGAAAAAUGGCAGAAAAAGAAUAAAAAUUCUCAAAAAUUUCAAAAUGUUCAUCAAUUUAUCAAUCAAUCUCAUCAACCACAAAAAAAAAAACUUCUAUUUUCAUACCACAUCUCCCCCCACACUUACUCCUCACAUUGUCCUCAAUGUGGAAAAAAAUUCAAUUAAAUGGGAAAGUGCACAAAAUAAAAUAAAGUAAGUCAAAGAGAACUUCCCUUAAGAGUAAGUCGCAUAGAGCUCAGGCUGUUGGUGGUUGGGGUAUGGGCAACCCCAAGUGAGAGAGAAUGAUAUUCAAUUUGGCAUCCAUAUGGUGCAUUUUUGCCUCAAUUCUGGCUAGACGGGCUUGAUCACUAGGUUCUAGAGAUGCUGCUGAGGAGGUUGAGGCUGAAGCUGAUUGGUCCUCUGUCCGAAAUAAACGCGAUCGUGGUGGAAUGAUAGGACCUGGAGGACAAAACACAAAUUCUUUCCUCUCGUUGACGCAAAGUAAGCCCAUAGAAUUAAGUGCAGAUAUGUCAAGUGGAAGAAUAGGCUCAGCUAUGUGUAAAUUAGUAUUUUUAAUAUCAAGUACACCCAACCCUACCGCUAGCAUUGAAAUUACAGAACCCAAGUAUAUACCACGCCCAGCAUUAGAUAUACUUUUAAACUGCGAGGCUAACCAAAAACCAAAAAUAACUUUUCUUUUUUUUAACAUGCACCAUAAGAAGAAGAGUUCAUAUUUUGUGAGUUUAGUUGGAUCUUUAUUUUUUCCAGAAAAUGUGUAGGUAUCUAAGGGCAGGGCUCUGAAUAUCAUUGGCUUUAGAUUUCGCACCCCUAAAUUUAAACUCAGGUUUCCUGUUAACUCCUUGUAUGCUAAAAUUGGAUCCCAAUCCGCUGGGUAGUCACAUAAUGAAUCUAAAUAUUCAACAGUUUUGACAUAUUCAUUACCAUAAAUACCCAAGUACAAAUUAAAUGUUGUGAUUGAACAUUGGACCAUUUUAUUUUGCAACCUAAAAUGAAUUGUAGGAAUAUUCAUAUUAAAAUUCUGUGCAUCAAAAGAAAACUCAUAGGUUGCAUAAAAUUCACGGCAAAGCUCAACAUAGGAAGGACAAUCUAUAACAAAAAAUUUUCUCCAUCCAAUUGUAUCAAUUAAAGCAUAAACUUCAUCAUACAAUCGCAAUUGGAUCAAGGUAUCAUCAUUUAUUUUCUUACAAGCAUAAAUAUCAGAAUGGAGAAAAAUUUUAUAUCUCACCUCAUCAUCGCCGACAAAGCUAAAAUUGCCAUGAAGGUCUUGCUCUGUAGGUAGAUAUCUGGCCUUUCCACCAGCUAAUCUGGGCAUCCGUUUUUUCUGCUUUUUCUUUGGAGGAGAAUCAGCCUGGAUUUCUUCACUGGCACUUGAGGUUGUGUCCUCGCUGCUGUCCUCCGAAGCUUCCACGAUCAAUUUUAUGGUUUUGGAUUGCAUUUUUCGUUCUUGGAGUUGCCUCAGGAUUUCAGGUUUCACCUCCUAUUCUUCCUCAUCAUCACUCAUUAAAUCAUAAAUAGGAACCUUACCUUUCAUCUGUGAAUGCUAGCGCGUGGUUGCAUCUGGCGAGGAAGUAGACGGCGACGGUGUCGGUGUUGGAGAGGCUGCGAUCGGCGAGGAGGAAUGCGUGGAAGGGGCUGUGACCGGCGAGGAGGAACGCGCGGAAGGGGCUGUGACCGGCGAGGAGGAACGCGCGGAAGGGGCUGCAAUCGGCGAGUCCGCUGGUAUGGUCUGCGUGUGAGGCCUAGUCGCCGCGUCCGAGGGAAUCUUCGUCGUGGUCUGGUGGCGGCACGAUGAGCGGCGGCUCCCGAUCGAAGCGCCGGCAGCGUGGUUCUUGGCGGAACGGGAAGAGGCGGCGCGGGCCAUCUGCAGGAAAGAGAAGAAAAAGAAAAG